GGCACUUGCAACUUUAUUGCGCCAGCAAGAACAUGCAUACAGCCCAGUCUAACGUACAGGAUCAAAAAGAGACCUUAUUUCGGCUGGCAAUUACCUUACCCGCUUGUUCAUUAUCUGACUCCUGCACUCCUCCCAAGUGUUCAAUGUUAACCAGAUGGCAAAGUUAACCAGACAGAGGAAAUCCACAUAAUUACUCUAGAUGAAGCCCCCUAACUGCGGAUUAGAAGGAAAAGAGAUGAAGGGUGCUGCACUAAUAAUAACAACCAUUUUCAACCAAGGCAGGAUUCUGGGCCUAGAAUCUUCAGUGACAAAUUACCAGGAGAGGAGGAGGGAAAUGAAGAGCUGGAGGCCUAGGGAGAUGGUGUGAGGAGAGGAGACUGUGCCUUUCCACUUCUUAAUAAUUAAUGUUCUCCUGCUGCUCUGAGUCUGCAUCACCAGUGAUUCAGUUUGAGUCAGACAUCCAACAACAACUGAGCAAAAGAAUCAUCUCAGAUCCAAGCAAUGGUGACGCGCAGAUAGAAGAGACUGAGGCCAACGACCAAAGCAAAGGACAGCAGAACUGACUGACACAGCUCAGAAAAUAUCCAAAGCUCUGGUCUUGCUCUGUCACCCACACUGGAGUGCAAUGCCACCAUCUUGGCUCACUGCAGCCUUGACCUCCUUGGGCUCAAGUGAUCCUCCUGCUUCAGCCUACCAUGUAGCUGGGACUACAGGUAUGCUCUGGAAAGGAAGACAAGAAAUGCUAAAGACUCUGGAUAUUGCUCUGUUUCUAUAAGGUCCCACCCAUAUACCAUCUCUUCUUUUGGAUUUCCUUUGGCAGGGUUCCCUUGUAUGGAAGUUCUCAGGAGAACAACACUCUCAGAGUCCCACUGUCUCAAAGAAUUCUUAAUGGACAGCUAUACUUGGCCCCAAGGUUUCAACCUCACACUGAAGAAAGUGACAUAAGAAAACACAAGUCCCAGUGCUAUCAGGGGCUAUCUGGAAAAGCUGCUUAAACAGCAAGUGAAAGAAGGCUCUCCCCUACCCCGUUCUAGGACAGAUUCCAAGCCUCUUGGAUAAGACUGAAGCCCUCCAUCACAGCCCAUCAAUCCGUUUCCUGGAGUUCGGAACCACAGCCAUGUGCCUCAUCAGUGUAAGACUGAGUCUCAGCUCUCACUUCAAGGAGGACUCAAGACAAGCAAAAGAAGUAAACUUUUGCUGGGUGCAGUGGCUCACGCCUGUAAUCCCGGCACUUUGGGAGGCCAAGGUGGUGGAUUACUUGAGGUCAGCAGUUUGAGACCAGCCUGACCAACAUGAUGAAACGUUAUCUGUACUAAAAAUACAAAAAUUAGGCUGGGCGCCAUGGCUCAUCCCUGUAAUCCCAGCACUUUGGGAGACCGAGGUGGGUGGAUCACCUGAGGUCAGAAGUUUGAGACCAGCCUGGGCAACAGAAUGAAACCCCAUCUCUACUAAAAAUACAAAAAUAAACUGGGUGUGGUGGCA
rnacentral:lncRNA from 1 species